AGCUCCCCGAGUGGUGUGGGUAAUUAUUGGGCCUAAAGCGUUCGUAGCCGGUUCAGUUAGUUUUCUGUUAAAUCCAAUGAUCUAAUCGUUGGGCUGCAAAAAAUACUGCUGGGCUAGGAGGCGGAAGAAGUCGACGGUACUCUCGGGGUAGGGGUGAAAUCCUAUAAUCCUGCGAGGACCACCAGUGGCGUAGGCGGUCGACUAGAACGCGCUCGACGGUGAGGGACGAAAGCUGGGGGAGCGAACCGGAUUAGAUACCCGAGUAGUCC
rnacentral:rRNA from 1 species